rnacentral:misc_RNA from 1 species
GAUGAAGAACGCAGCGAAAUGCGAUACGUAAUGUGAAUUGCAGAAUUCAGUGAAUCAUCGAAUCUUUGAACGCAUAUUGCGCUCUUUGGUAUUACGAAGAGCAUGCUUGUUUGAGUAUCAGUAAACACCUCAAAGCUUUUGGAUUUUUUAAUCGAAAAGCUUUGGACUUGAGCAAUCCCAACACCAAUCUUUUUGAGAUCGGUGGCGGGUUGCUUGAAAUGCAGGUGCAGCUGGACAUUCUCCUGAGCUAAAAGCAUAUUCAUUUAGUCCCGUCAAACGGAUUAUUACUUUUGCUGCAGCUAACAUAAAGGGAGUUUGACCGUAUUGGCUGACUGAUGCAGGAUUUCACAAGGGUCGGCAACGAUUCUUGUUAAACUCGAUCUCAAAUCAAGUAAGACUACCCGCUGAACUUAAGCAUAUCAAUAAGCGGAGGA